CAGGAAGUAAGCAGUUAUAAAAAUAACUUUGGAACUUCCACUAUUUCUCGGUAAAGCAUUAUUAGUGCUUGCUAUUGUGAUUUCUCAUCAAUUGUGACCAAGAUCUUAAGCAAGUACAGAGAGAACUCUUUCUUUCUUUCUUUCUUUCUUUCUUUCUUUCUUUCUUUCUUUCUUUCUUUCUUUCUUUCUUUCUUUCUUUCUUUCUUUCUUUCUUUCUUUCUUUCUUUCUUUCUAGUAACUUAGAAUACAGGUAACCAGUUAUAUAAGUAACUUUGAAACUUCCUCUACUUCUCAGUAAAGCAUUAUUAGUACUGUAAAAGGAGAUUCAUCUUGCUCAUCUUGAGAUCACACACGACCAAGAUCUCUAACAAGUACAGAGAGAACUGUUCUCUGGACAAAAUGAGAAUUACAGGUCAUCUUUGAAAUCCUGCUGAUUUUCACAAAAGCUGCCAUGGGUUUCAUGGUGGUGUUUUUGUCUGUGUGGAUCUUUCAAGUCAUCAUCCUGCUGUCUCUGUUAGUGGGAGCAUACAUCUACCCCAGAAUCUACAGGAAACAGAGGACACCUGAGAUUCAGGAAGCUCUGUAAACCUGGAUUAGGAACAGAAGAAGCAGAUCUCCUCUAUACAAGCAACCAUCAAUCUGUGUCUCAUUCAGACUGAAACAUGAGAAAAUAUAACCAUCAAUAACAGAUGGCUAACAGACAACAUAAAUGUAAUUCCUCAAUCCACACCUGGACUUUGCUUUUUCUUUUUCUUUUUCUUUUUUUUUUUAAACAAAAACAACAAAAAAAAACUAAGUCAGUCUCAUGAUUCCUGCAGAUUCAUUGAGGAACCAAGUGCUAUUUUUUAGAGUUGCUUCUGUUAUGCUUUAUUUCUAAUAUUCUCAAAAUAAUGUAAUACUUUGAUGCAGUUGUUACAAACAUGCCAACAAUGCUUUUGUGGAAAUGAUUUUAAUAGAGUUUUUGAAAUGUAAAUUCAAUUUCUGUAACUGAACUAAAUGAUUUUUAUCACUAUAAAAAGUCAAAACGAUAGUGGGCGUGGUGCACCGGUGGGCAAGUGAUGUAAUCGGUGUGCGGCCAAACACCGGUAACACAGCAAGCCUAAUAUGGAUGCUCCCAGUACCUUAUUUUUUUUUAAUCCUGUAAAGAAAAAUGUCCAACAAAAUGAUGUGCCAUUUGAGUCUUUCAGAUGGAUCCAUUACAUCAAAUCCUGCAGCAAUAAAGAGGAUGGCAAGAGUUGUUCAGUUGUUCAGUGUGGAGAGCUGUGAGACUGAAAGUGCAGAAGAGUUGCUCAAAAAUUGCCUCAGCUUGAAGAAGAACAGAGAAAAGAUUUGGAUAGUAUAAACAGCUUUCAAAAAAAAAAAAAAAACCUUUCUGAGAAAAGUGGUUCCCCUCUGUGCGGAGACUGAUCUAUAGAUGAAAUUUGUUAUACAUAAUGAUGACUGUAAAAUACAUCACCAGCAUCACUGUAGGGCUUUAUAAAUACUCACAUUGUAAUAUAUGUGAUAUAAUAUAUACCUAUAUAUAGGUGAUAUAAAAAACGAAACCAAGAUAAAUCUCAGAUCUUUCUCUACAUUUUAUGGGAUAUAGCAACCAACACAAUUUGAGUGAAAAACAAAUAGAAACGUUUUAGGAAAAAACAGACAAAGAAAAAACUAAUGAUAACCUGCUUGCACC
ensembl:lncRNA